UGCCAGCCGCCGCGGUAAUACGGAGGGUGCAAGCGUUGUUCGGAAUCAUUGGGCGUAAAGAGCAUGUAGGCGGCCUGGAAAGUCGGUUGUGAAAGCCCGGGGCCCAACCCCGGAAUUGCAGCCGAAACUGCCUGGCUAGAGUCCCGGAGAGGAAGGCAGAAUUCCCGGUGUAGGGGUGAAAUCCGUAGAUAUCGGGAGGAAUACCAGUGGCGAAGGCGGCCUUCUGGACGGUGACUGACGCUGAGAUGCGAAAGCGUGGGGAGCAAACAGGAUUAGAUA
rnacentral:rRNA from 1 species